UUUCUUUCCUUCAAUAACAGUUAUGGACAUUUUACAAAUUUCUAUGUUUAUGUUUCUUUUAUCAUGUGUCCAGUCAGAUAUUGUCUUAAUGCAGAAAGGUGAUGAACUGAAAAAGCCUGGGGAGUCUCUGCGACUGACCUGUAAAGGUUCUGGGCAGAACAGCGCAGGAAAUUCUAUUACUGCUUACUGGUUGCACUGGGUUCGUCAAGAGCCAGGAAAAGGGCUUGAAUGGCUGGGCAACAUUAGCCCAGACAGCAGUAAUAUAAAUUAUGCAAGCAGCAUUCAAGGACGAUUUACAAUCUCCAGAGACAAUUCUAAACAGGCUCUGUAUUUGGACAUGAACAACCUCAAAACUGAAGACACAGCCAAAUAUUACUGCACUACAGGCCAAAGAGGAACCUCUUGCUAUCACUCAUACAAAAUCCUCCCCAAAAAACUUUACUGUUAA